ensembl:lncRNA
AUGAACCUUUUCUAUUCACCUUUAUUACUAUUUGGUGUGGUAAACUGCCUUGACCUCCGAGAUCAAGUGUUUGGCUUGGCCAAACACUUAAAUUGGAUGUUAGUCAUGUACACGUAUUUUGCACACAGAAGUAGGGCUGCAGGACAUGAAGAAAAAGUGCAAUACGAGAUAUUACUGAUCAAUAAUGUAAUGACCAUAUGACUUGUCAUCCAUGAAAAAGAAAGAAACAACUAUUAAUAAAUAAUUUCACUGCAACAGUUCUAUUUAAAUAUAACAUAACUUAAAUUAUACUGCAACUAACCCACAUCUAAAGGAAGAGGGCAUCUAAUGAUAUCUUCACACCAGACACGGAAACUCGAGCAAAAGCAUCCAAUGAAAAGUUCACGUAAAUGUACACAUAUGUGCGUAUAAAAAAGUCUCUGUCCAAAGUUCUCAUCUUCAGGUAUCAUUAAACAAGUUUUUAAGUCAGUUUUUGGGUUCUACAUACAAAACGUGCAACAAUUCAAUGCACGCUAAACGUUAAAACAGUUGAUCUUUGACCAAUCAGGUACUCGGAUUUGGUAGUGAUGUAUGGAUAACAUCUUUUUCAAAACACGGAAGUACCAACCGGUUGAAAAUAUAUCGUGAAGGAGAAUUAUUUGCGUUUUUUUCCCUUGGUGUCAUAAAUUAUUUUACACCAAAUAAUAUGACACAAAGUCUUUUAUAUAUCGGAAUAAAGCUGUCAAAGAAAAACCUGGAGUAAGAUUUGUGAGAUUUGCCCGUUUACCAUGUCCUUGAACGCGCCACACAUGCCCAGUGUGUUAUUAACCUAACAUACAAAGGUUCUUUUUGAUUGUUCAGCAACAUUAAGGCUCCAUUUGAUUGCUUAAAUGUGUAAUAAGUUGUAUUUGAUUACCGGUAGUUAAACACUUCAAGCUGCCAUGAGGUUGUUUUAGCAUUUGAUAUCACAGUUUACAUCGUCAGGCUGAUAUUGUGAUGAUACAUUUUGAUUUAUUGUGAAAGACAAAAAUAUAAUUUAAAGAGGAAAAACAUGAGCAAGUCUUUUUACAUUUGAUGAUAAAAUGUUAAUAAUUUUAAAGAGAGGGUUUGUGGUGUUUUAGCAAAGAUUUGCAUGUUUCCAUUUUGACAUGAAUCAGAGCAAAACUAAAAAUCCCCUGUAAACUAAAUAGAGAUAAUCAGCACAAAACACCCUAAAAAAGUCAAGGUAAAUCUUUUAUAAGUUCAGUUAACUGGACCGUGAUUUUCAGGUUGUCAGACUCCCCGUUCUCUCUGCCUGAGAUGCUGCUCUCAGUUGAUGGAGCUUGUGGUCCAGUGAGUUCCUAGCUCAUACAAGCAAGGAGCCGGCUCAGAAAUAAUAAUGAAUCACGUCAACAUGCUAAUGCCCAGUUGAGGCCAUAACGAAUUUGACUGUAUGCUCAGCCACCAGGUUAUCAGUGGAUAAGUCAGGAGCUUGCAGACAGCUCAAUAAUAUUAAUUUAGUCUUUUAUUGAGAAUGUGCUUCUCUUUUAUGUCCUGGUCUUCAUACACCCUACCUUGCUGGCUUCUACUAUCUUUUUAUCUUUUUGAUUAUCCCGUUUGUUAAGAAAAAUCUGCUCUUUAUGGUUAUAUAUAUUAUGAAGCUGAUUAAAGUGGGUCUGAAACCCCUUUCAGAGUUCCCCUUGACCAUUUUUGACCAAAUAAAAGUUAUUACCUUAAGGAGUUAGUAAGGUGAGGAUUUAUUUUUCAUGCAUAAAACAAAUCCUUACCUUCUGCACAUACAACCUCUGUCAACUCAAUAACAUACAAACUGAACAGGGAAUUUUUCACUCAGUGCCACCAGUGGCAUUGAACCCCGUUUAUCUUUUUGAUUUUAGAUUAGCAACACAUCCGCACUUAAAGUGUAACCUGGCAACAAAUCAGUUUGAAAAACAUGAAGUGCAACAGGGGAGGAGGUGUUAUUCUGUUUAAGGUCUUACUCUGCCUUCAGCAAACACAACCUUAUUGUGCCAGUUUUAUCUGACGUAUUUAUCCCAGCCUGUUGUGAAGCGCUGACUUGUUUCCGCUUCUACAGGUGUAACUUUUUCGACAGACUAAAAGGCAAAAACAAAACAAGGACAAGCUUCUUGUGUCAUGAAAUGUCAACACGUUCCUUCAACUUUAUUUUUGGAAUUUAUCUGAAAACCAUGGUGGCUUGAAGUGCAAAUCACAGCAACAAAGUACCCAACGCAAACACAUAUUAGAAACCGCAAUGACUAUUAAAAAAGCAAAACAAAUAAUACAAAAACGACCUUAAAUUUUUGAAAAAGAAAUGAUAAAUUCCAUUAAAACCAAAACACAAUUCCAAAAUAAUUAAACAAAAUAAAAAUGAAACAAUUUUGAAUACAUUUCUAGAAAUCAAUAUGAAGUGUUAAAAAAUCAA